rnacentral:RNase_P_RNA from 1 species
AUUGCAAGCCGUCUUAUCGCUCUUCGAUUUAUCGAGGGGAGGAAAGUCCGAGCAACACAGAGCACCGUACCUUGAGAAACCAAGGGUCUUGAUGUAAAAAUCAGGAACAGAUAGUGCCACAGAAAACAGGUAGCCUUAACGCUUGUCGUUGGGGUCAUAGUGAAAAGGUGGGGUAAGAGCCCACCGUCUUGGAUAGUAAUAUUCGAGUGCACGGUAAACCUUUCGGGUUGUAAGGUCACAUACAUUUUUGCUUCCGCAUCUAUUUAUAGCUGCGGGAUAAGGGCUGCUCGUCCGAAAAUCCUGAUUCAGGGUGGUAAAAAGGGGUAGACUGCGUUAGAUAAAUGAUAAGAGUCCGUCUUUUGACGGAAACAGAACUCGGCUUAUAGGCUUGCAAUUUUU